GAGUAAUACGCAUAGCCCUUCGGGGAAAGAGUUAUCGGAGAAGGAUCGGCCCGCGUUAGAUUAGAUAGUUGUGGGUAACGGCCGUACCAAGUCUACGAUCUAUAGCUGGUUUUAGAGGAUGAUCAGCAACACUGGGACUGAGACACGGCCCAGACUCCUACGGGAGGCAGCAGUGGGGAAUCUUAGACAAUGGGCGCAAGCCUGAUCUAGCCAUGCCGCGUGUGUGAUGAAGGUCUUAGGAUCGUAAAGCACUUUCGCCAGGGAUGAUAAUGACAGUACCUGGUAAAGAAACCCCCGGCUAACUCCGUG
rnacentral:rRNA from 1 species